CAACUUGAAAAGGAUGUUACUAUACAUUGAAAAUCCUGUUUAAAGAAUGUCAUUUAUUAUCAUAAUAGGUUAAGUAGCCUCAUAUUCAGAUUGUUCUAUUUGUUUUCCUCAUAUUCUACCUGAUACAAAUGUUACACUGUCUCUGUGUUGUAAAAACAACUGAAUUUAAACUUAGGAUGUAACAGAACCUGCAUUGCAAUGUUCAGUGAUGCAGAAGUACAGACUGGCACCAGGAGUGGGGAGACUGGCUGCUGUGCUUGCGUCCCGCUGCUAUUUCUGGCAUGCAGAGACUGAGCGGUGUCUGCUGGCCCAAACGUAAGUCCUCAGACAUUGCUGCAUCUUCCCCACAUUCUGACAUUUGUGCUCUCUGUCAUGUGCCUCCUGAUAUGCGGCCUUCUAGUUUUUAGUAUUGUCAACACCAGUGAAAACAAGUUAUGGUACGUUAAGAGCUCUGUGUCUAGUUUGACCAGAGGUAAGGGCAACAGAACUUGCAUUCAGCCUUCCCCUGUGUUCAGGUUCCCAAGCCUGUUAUUUCUCUGACAGCGGGACCUAAAUGGUUUGGCAUCCUGUAGAUGCCCUUUGAGAAGAGGCUCCCUGUCCCCAGGAGCCCGCAGUCUAAACAGAUAAGGCAAGCAGGAGAGGGAACACAGUGAGAUGGAGAAACUCGCCCAAGCCAAUUAGCACGUCAAACGACAGGGCUGGGAAUAGGAACAGACCGUAUGAAUUCUCACCACUGUCACCACCACCAAAAAUAUUUUGGUGUUCUACCUUUUGGUUUAACUCUUAAGCAAUAGAUGAGACAAAUAUAUAUAUAUAUUUUUUUUUGUUGGGAGAAAUAUGCCCCUUUGUUUAAUUUUUUUUUUCAAAUUGUGGCAAGUGUGGGCCAUAGCUGGAGUACAAGAACACCUGGAAAACAAAUUUUUGUUUAUCUUUGUAAUAAUUCCAGCCUCUCUUUAAAAAGAAAGUCAUUGCUGGUGAAAAAGGCUGUGACAGGAGGUCUGGGGGAUGUGUAGGAUGACUAUGCUCUGAGGUUCUUCCGCUCCUUAUAACCUAUCAGGGAUCUCUACAAACAUUAGUUAUGGCUCAGUGUCAUUUCUUUCUCAUGUGAAAUAGAUACGUUACUUAUUUUAGUUUUAUGCAGGGAAAAAAUGGGUGCAGACUGAGGAUCCACAGCGGGUUCAUGGAGGAGAGGGAAAUAGAUCUCUGGACUGCAGCAGGCAGGCUCAGCCUUUCCGUCUCGGUACAGUGUGACCCGUACACUUUUUGCCUAUUGAAAUAUAAUUCGCUCUAGCUCUGCUUUAGCCUCAUGGAUUUCUAAUUUUAAUUUAAUUUUCUACUCUUCCUGCUGGGUCAGAUUCCCAAAAUGUCACUAAACUUUGUGCCUGUUCCUGACGUUGGAUCUGGGUUCAGUCAUUUAGAUUCUAAUUGAGUAGUCUCAGUCUGUGUAUUACUUUUAGCGACUUUUAGGGAAAGAGGGGAAAAAAAGAAGAGUUGAUUAAUUAAGGGACAUCACCUCUUUCAUGCAAUGAUUCUAUUUGAAUUUCAAACAAAUUUAAAUAAAAAGCAUUAAAUGUUCAUCAUAGGUUAACAGACUAAUAAAGCUCCAUCAGCUAGUAACUGAAAUACCUGAAAAUUUGUCAGACUUUUGGUAUGAGAACUCAGAUCUGAAGGAGUAUUACCACCAGCUCAAAAAUGAUUAGAUUUAUCUGAAAUUUUAGUGAGUUUCUUGGAGCUUUGGUCAUGUUUUAUGUGAAUCAAGCCUUAUGCGAAACUCCUGGUGGACCAGAAGCCAUGUGAAAUACGAGGGUUUUCAGGUGCUUGAUGUGGUAUGGAAAUGGCAAAUCAUGCAGGAGUGGAUGUUAAACAUUAGUGCGUGACUUCAUUCAAACAAGUUCAAGUUUCGUCUUGAGUUUUGGAGUUUGGUUAAAUCCAGUAUGUACAGAAGAGCUCACAUUUGAAAGCAGAUUGUGAACUCCCCAUGGACAAAACACACAUAACUCCAGGUACUGCAUUCCUGCUUCUCAUGCUCUUUCUUUGAUAGUGAAUGAAUUAAUCUCUGUAACCUUUCUUUUAAAUCCCUCUGUUACAUCCACUGACCUUUUGUUGAACCCUUCCCAUUUUCCCAAACUUGGUUUUAAAUAAGGCACGGAAUGAUGCAGAAUUCCAGGACUCUCAUGCCUGGAGGUGAACAACUCCGCCUCAUCUGGCUUUUUCCUUGCUUUUCUCACCUUAGGAUAAAUUGUUUUAUGGCUUUGUCCAUAAAUAAAUGUGGCUUUGUCCAUAAAAUAACAACUGUAUUAUUUUAAUUGUCCUCCAUUAUCUUAUAGAGGUUGAAAGAUUCGGAGCUCAACAGUCUUUUAGAAACAUGUUAGCAGAAUUGGAGUCGGGUAGAAAAAAUACAACCAUCCCCUCUCUCUGCUGAGUCACUGUCAGAAUAGACCUUCUUGGGUUUGAAGGGUUGAGGAUAAUGAGUAAUCUGGACGGAGCAGCUUUCUUCCAAGGACCUCAGAACUCUCUGCAGAUGUGCUUCUCUCUGCAAAAUGGCUCUCACUCCAUUUCUGUGAGAACUCUUCCCGCAAACUGGGUCCCUAAGAGGAUUAGUGAAGGGGAUACCAAUUUAUUUAUACUCACCUCAGCAUGGUAGCAGCCAAACACUCCCUGACCUUCCACAAGGCGCAGAGCAGCCCACUUGUGGUGCCAUUUGCAAUAAGCAAGACAGAACUGUGUUACAACACGAUUGGGAUUCUUGCUGUGUGCAGAGAUGCCCAGAGUGGCCACACGGCCUAAGCAAGAGUAAGGCACAGCAUCCAGCAGCAAACGUCCCAGGAUGGUUUGUGCCACUUGUGGGCUCCGAGGGGUGGAUGGGCUCUGGCAAAACGUGCACGGACUGUCAGAGUGCUGCUGCUCAUCCCAAAUCCAACGUGCUGAGCCCACCUGGGCUGUGCGUGCUGUUGUGUGACUGCGGAAGAUGGGGCACAAAGGGCUCCUUGGGUGCUCUGUAUGGCACAGCAGAGGACGAGCCAAGCCAGCAUCUGAGAGGUCCCCAGCAGCUCCUGCAAGGCGCUGAACAACGUCUGCUGCUCCCCAAAGGCUGAAAGCACUCCCGGCCAUCACACGCCGCUCUCUUCGCUGCCGACGCCGCUUUUAAGAUGAAUGAUGUGAGAAAUGCUGCAAAGCAUCAGAGGUCGAGGAGCUGCCUCAGUGCACCGACACCGUUCUGCGUGGAGGCUGCGGCUCAGCUGAGCGCCCCUCCGGGGAGAGAGAGAAGUGGGGAAAAACGACAACCAGAAAAGAUUGGUGGACUUUGGUUUUCGUAUGCACCUGUGUUUGUAUCAUGCCUGAACCUGCAAAGAGUAACACGUGGUUAUUCGCAUGGAAUCCAGUAAAUGGUGAACCUGUAAAUCAGUGACCCGAAGUGUGCUUGUCUCAUUUGAUCCCCUCUCCCUUCCCCCAGGGUUCCCCCUUUGGAGCACCUGGAUGGAGUGCUUGGGGC
ensembl:lncRNA